GAUGAACGCUGGCGGCGUGCCUAAUACAUGCAAGUCGAGCGAACGGACGAGAAGCUUGCUUCUCUGAUGUUAGCGGCGGACGGGUGAGUAACACGUGGAUAACCUACCUAUAAGACUGGGAUCACUUCGGGAAACCGGAGCUAACACCGGAUAAUAUUUUGAACCGCAUGGUUCAAAAGUGAAAGACGGUCUUGCUGGCACUUAUAGAUGGAUCCGCGCUGCAUUAGCUAGUUGGUAAGGUAACGGCUUACCAAGGCAACGAUGCAUAGCCGACCUGAGAGGGUGAUCGGCCACACUGGAACUGAGACACGGUCCAGACUCCUACGGGAGGCAGCAGUAGGGAAUCUUCCGCAAUGGGCGAAAGCCUGACGGAGCAACGCCGCGUGAGUGAUGAAGGUCUUCGGAUCGUAAAACUCUGUUAUUAGGGAAGAACAUAUGUGUAAGUAACUGUGCACAUCUUGACGGUACCUAAUCAGAAAGCCACGGCUAACUACGUG
rnacentral:rRNA from 1 species